rnacentral:rRNA from 1 species
AACAAACGCUGGCGGCGUGCCUAAUACACGCAAGUCGAACGGGGAAAGCUUUCGGGUGAGUACUAGUGGCGCACGGGUGAGUAACGCGUGGAUAAUCUGCCUUAGAGUGGGGGAUAACUAGUCGAAAGAUUAGCUAAUACCGCAUAAGACCACAAGAACUGCGGUUCAAGGGGUCAAAGGUUUUUCGCUCUAAGAUGAGUCCGCGUAAGAUUAGCUAGUUGGUAGGGUAACGGCCUACCAAGGCGACGAUCUUUAACUGGUCUGAGAGGAUGAUCAGUCACACUGGAACUGAGACACGGUCCAGACUCCUACGGGAGGCAGCAGUAGGGAAUAUUGCACAAUGGAGGAAACUCUGAUGCAGCGACGCCGCGUGAGUGAUGAAGGCCCUCGGGUCGUAAAGCUCUGUCGCAGGGGAAUAACACAAUGAAGGUACCCUGUAAGAAAGGAUCGGCUAACUUCGUGCCAGCAGCCGCGGUAAUAC